rnacentral:rRNA from 1 species
UGGGGAAUAUUGCACAAUGGAGGGAACUCUGAUGCAGCGACGCCGCGUGAGGGAUGAAGGAAUUCGUUUCGUAAAACUCUGUUCUAUGGGAAGAAAAGGACUGUACCAUAGGAGAAAGCUCCGGCUAAAUACGUGCCAGCAGCCGCGGUAAUACGUAUGGAGCGAGCGUUGUCCGGAAUGAUUGGGCGUAAAGGGUGCGCAGGCGGCUUUACAAGUUGGAUGUGAAAUAUUGUGGCUCAACCACAAACGUGCAUCCAAAACUGCAAAGCUUGAGUUAAGGAGAGGUAAGUGGAAUUCCUGGUGUAGCGGUAGAAUGCGUAGAUAUCAGGAGGAAUACCGGUGGCGAAGGCGACUUACUGGACUUAUACUGACGCUCAGGCACGAAGGCGUGGGGAGCAAACAGG